AAAAAAUGACAGAUACUAGAGAUAGAAAGGAAUACACAUUGGGUAAUUUCCAAGUAAUGUGGUUGUCCCUGUGUGAUGUUCAGUGUCAAUAAGAAAGGGAGUCUGCCAGUUACAUCUUCAGUCAGAAACAAAUCUACUUCUGUAGAUCAGACCAAAAUACAUAGAAAAACAAAAUAAGGCCCAUGUUUGUGUUUCAAGGAAUUAUAACUUUAUUCUUUUACAUCAGAUCUGCGUUUUGUGUUCGUGUUCCUUUUUGCAGUUACUUAAGGAAGAGGUCUCACUUCCAGAAAUCCGAACCUAAUAUGCAGAACAGACAAUUUACAGUCACACACCUAAAAAUCCAAGAAGAGAUGGAUGAAUAUAAAGAAAUAUUUUAAAGCAGGUUUACAUCUCUGGGAACUGCUUACUUCUGGAAGGCAGACAUCAGUCACAAAGAACAGCUAUUUUGGAGUUCUAGACCUUCAUCCUAAUACCUACAUUAAGAUUUCCACUUCUGCAUCACAGGAAUCCUAAACCCCUUCAGUGUCCUCCUAAAUGGGAGUCCUGAAGAAGCAGAAAAACACCCGAACCCAGAAUCCCAAGUUAUCUCUGCUAACUGCAAGGAAUGAUCCAAACUUGCAGGGUGAAGAACUGCAGAGAAAGAUAUGCAUGGAUAACAGACUUAGAACAACUCCAGAAGAAAAAUGCUGCUCACAGAGUGCUGGCAUACAUUCAGAAAUCAGCCUUCUGUUUUGGAUACAGCCACAUUUCCUGCCCAUACCCACUCUCUCAGCACUGAUGCCAGCCAAAGCUCAUCCUCUGCUGAAGGACCUUCAGCUCAGCCUUCCCCAAAUAUAUUGGAAAGACAAUGUAUUAACAAAACAAAACAAAAAAGAAGCAGAAAAGGAGAGAGACAAGAGCACAGAGGAGGCCCGGAGGGAAAGAAAAAUAUUCAAAUAAUGGAGUAAGGGUGAGGCUGGCAAACUUUGUGGCAGUGAAACAACAGAUGGACUGUAGUUUUAGUGAUUCAUCACACAGAUGGUUCAGCAGAUGGAUUCUGUUGGGUUCAUACAGCUUAGGUGGAAAUAUCAGCUGCUGAUCUUGACAGGCAGGGCAGCUUCAGCAGAGGCAGUAUCCUUGCUUUGCCUUCCCUUGUACAUGUCCUGUUUUCCCAGACUGGCAGUGCAGGGACAAUGCUGAGUGCCACAGCAUUGGCCAGCCUUUGUGCUCCUUACAUGCCACAUAGUUCAAGAUUUUCUCUGUCUGUUCUAGGAAGGAAAAAGUUUGCUGUGAGUGGAUGUACCACCUCAUUUCUGCCACCCAGUCAAGUGACAAAUGCUGUUCCUUGGGAAACAAAAACAUCUACAGAUUGUGAUGAUUUCUAUCUAUAAAAAUUCUGUCAGCCUGGAUAGCAUUUCUGACAGAGUAUAACUUCUCCAAGGGAUGAAACAUCUUCCCAGUUUUACUGUGGGGGGUCUAGAUUCCCAAAUAACCUAUGACCAUUAAUGCAAUAAAGAGGAAUUAAAGCACA
rnacentral:lncRNA from 1 species